rnacentral:rRNA from 1 species
CGAGCGAAACGGAAAGAGCCCAAACCAACAAGCUUGCUUGUUGGGGUUGUAGGACACUCUAUACGGAGUUACAAAGGACGACAUUAGACGAAUCAUCUGGAAAGAUGAAUCAAAGAAGGUAAUAAUCCUGUAGUCGAAAAUGUUGUCUCUCUUGAGUGGAUCCUGAGUACGACGGAGCACGUGAAAUUCCGUCGGAAUCUGGGAGGACCAUCUCCUAAGGCUAAAUACUCUCUAGUGACCGAUAGUGAACCAGUACCGUGAGGGAAAGGUGAAAAGCACCCCGGAAGGGGAGUGAAAUAGAACCUGAAACCGUGUGCUUACAAGUAGUCAGAGCCCGUUAAUGGGUGAUGGCGUGCCUUUUGUAGAAUGAACCGGCGAGUUACGAUUUGAUGCAAGGUUAAGCAGUAAAUGUGGAGCCGUAGCGAAAGCGAGUCUGAAUAGGGCGUUUAGUAUUUGGUCGUAGACCCGAAACCAGGUGAUCUACCCUUGGUCAGGUUGAAGUUCAGGUAACACUGAAUGGAGGACCGAACCGACUUACGUUGAAAAGUGAGCGGAUGAACUGAGGGUAGCGGAGAAAUUCCAAUCGAACCUGGAGAUAGCUGGUUCUCUCCGAAAUAGCUUUAGGGCUAGCCUCAAGUGAUGAUUAUUGGAGGUAGAGCACUGUUUGGACGAGGGGCCCCUCUCGGGUUACCGAAUUCAGACAAACUCCGAAUGCCAAUUAAUUUAACUUGGGAGUCAGAACAUGGGUGAUAAGGUCCGUGUUCGAAAGGGAAACAGCCCAGACCACCAGCUAAGGUCCCAAAAUAUAUGUUAAGUGGAAAAGGAUGUGGCGUUGCCCAGACAACUAGGAUGUUGGCUUAGAAGCAGCCAUCAUUUAAAGAGUGCGUAAUAGCUCACUAGUCGAGUGACACUGCGCCGAAAAUGUACCGGGGCUAAACAUAUUACCGAAGCUGUGGAUUGUCCUUUGGACAAUGGUAGGAGAGCGUUCUAAGGGCGUUGAAGCAUGAUCGUAAGGACAUGUGGAGCGCUUAGAAGUGAGAAUGCCGGUGUGAGUAGCGAAAGACGGGUGAGAAUCCCGUCCACCGAUUGACUAAGGUUUCCAGAGGAAGGCUCGUCCGCUCUGGGUUAGUCGGGUCCUAAGCUGAGGCCGACAGGCGUAGGCGAUGGAUAACAGGUUGAUAUUCCUGU